rnacentral:piRNA from 1 species
UAAACGACUCCCCUGCACUCUUCGCCCGA